rnacentral:rRNA from 1 species
UACGUAGGUGACCAGCGUUGUCCGGAUUUACUGGGCGUAAAGAGCGCGCAGGCGGUCGUUCAAGUCGAGUGUGAAAGCCCCCGGCUCAACUGGGGAGGGUCACUCGAUACUGAUCGACUUGAAGGCAGGAGAGGGAAGCGGAAUUCCCGGUGUAGAGGUGAAAUUCGUAGAUAUUCAGAGGAACACCAGUGGCGAAGGCGGCUCACUGGUCCAUUACUGACGCUGAGGUGCGAAAGCGUGGGGAGCAAACAGG